GUUCCACGCCGCUCUCUAUCUUCUUCCUCCAUUACCCUCUUUCUCUUUUUUGUUCAUCAAUUUUUAGCCUAAAUUAGAAGAAGAAAAAUGACAUCAAGCAACAAUUCCUCAUGUGGUCUUCAUUGUACUCUCCAUUUAAUCUUACAUCUGCUGCUUGAGUGAUUUUUUCCACUUCCUUUGUCUGUCGAUUGGUCUUAUUCCACUUGCUACAUCAAGUAAUACCACAGUAAAGCUGAAAAUACUGUUAUCUCGGUUUUUUUUAAGAUCUGGUUGAAGCGAUUCUGAUUUUCAUAUGUCCGGUGGUGCUACAUCGUACAAUUGGAGUUAGCGAUGCCGAAGGAAACCAAUGAAACUGAACAAUCAAAUAUGGGUGAUCGUCAUAUUUCUUCGUAAUCCCUUAUUUCAAUUAGAUUUUGAAAGGAUUUUAGGCUUUGUUCUUCCAUAAUGCACUGUUGCAUUUUAAGUGUUUGGUUAUACGCCUCAACAAAUUAACAUCAGCUGAUAGAUGAAUAAGUGAAGUGGUGGUGGUAUUAUUUUACAGUCAAAACGAACAUAAAAAUGAUUGUUUUCCAAUAGUUAUCCGUGAUUAGCUGUUGGUGAUGAUCUCAUUUGCUUGAGGGGCUUAAAAGUCUUUUUUUAAGAGAUGUCAAUACCAUUGUUUUCUUUUUCUUCUUCAUUAUCUUGCUUUUUCUACUCUAUUUUAAUCUAAUCGGAUUAACGAAAAUAAUUUGAUGUAGAAUUUCUUUUAUAUAAUUUACAUGUAAUCUUUUCGUUAAAGUAUCAUUGUUUAUGUGUUCGAUUUUGAAUUCGUUGAAUACAUUUUAACCAUAAAACGAGAUAGCAUAUGUAAUUUUAUGUCACAUAUAUGGUGAUGUUAAUGCAGCGUUUAGUCAUUUUUCCCCUUUAUAUAAUUUCAUUGCUUUUUUUGAAUUUUUAUUAUUUCUAAAUAGGAAUGUGUUCUUUACUUUAAGGUGCGCAUUUAUACUUAUGAUACUAUCCUACCUUGUUAAAUGUUUGAAGUCGGCUUAUUGACGAUCGUUAUGCCUGAAUGAUGGAAUGGAGGGUGAUGCGGAGGUCUGUGGGCGAGAUGAGGAUCUUGACGUGGAAGGUCAAAAUGAUGAGGAUGACUAUGAUGACAUGAAGGAUGAAAAUUUCGUCCUUGACUAUCCUGACAUGGAGCACCCAAAUGUGAGGGUGCUAGUGAUGAUGAAUGACUUUCUUUAUUUCUUUUGGAAGACUAGUGCGGACUGGAUCAAGUGAUGAAAUGUUUUUUUUUUUUCUUUCUUCUCAUCAAGAUAUAGGGCAGGGAGGAUGAUGACAUGUAGUAUGGCAUCUUUUCUUUUUAAAGCCCAUGAAAUUUUUUCUUUUUAAAGCAUCAUGUAGUAAGGCAUAAUGACUUGUUGGUUUUGGGAAUGAAAUGCAUUUUUUUUUAA